ensembl:lncRNA
GUUUCCGUUUAAUAAAUAUAUUUGUAGAAGAGUGAGGAAUAGUGUAACAGUAAAUCAUGGAUCAGAUUUAAUGACAAUAAAUGUAUUGGGGAAAGAGUAGACUGGAAUGCCACUCCAUUUCAAACUGGUUGAAUUGCAACCAUAGGUUGACUGACUACAGAUACAAGAAUUCAGCAAAAAUUAACAAAAGCGUUCUGUGAGAACAAAUUGACUAUGCAAGAUUUACAAUCAAGAGAUUGUACAUUGUGUUGUCGUUUGUAAAUUGUGCUGCACAUCCUUUAUGUCAGUAAAAUUUAUAACAAACAUAUGUCUACAAUGUAUACAUUUGGAUUUCCGAAGAAACAGUUGUCAAAUAUCUACCAACACACUACUGGACAAAUCCAAAUUUAAUAAAGUCCUUCAAAGCAAAUUUCUGCUUGGGAAAGCUCUCUCCACUGUUCAAAGUAUUUUCAGGACAAAGCAAUAGGCAACCUCAUGCUUCCAUUGGGGACAGACACUCCCAGGACACAGGUAGCUUUGUGGCUUUGGGAUCUGUCACUUUCCACAAUGACAAUAAAACCAACUCAUUCAGGGGCUUUGUGGUACUUUCUUUCCUUUGACAUUUUUCAAUUUAAGUGCCUUAAAUAAGGCUACUGGACUGCAAGUAGCAGCAAUUUCUCAGGCCAGUUAAAACGAAAGCAGGACUUAUCCUAAGGAUGAAUGUCUGGGAAUGUAACCAUCAGCUGGAGCGCAGGAAGCUAGCUCCUCUCUCCCUCCCCACAUAUAUGUCUUCAUGGUUGCUUCGUUCUUCUCUUCCCCUGUACAGAGCUUCCUGCUUCUUUUCUACUGUGCAAACAGCAGUGGAAGUGAAGGCAGAGUGACUGCUUUACAGUCAACAAAUUUACCUAAUCCUAGGUCGGAGGCCAGCCAGCCCGACAGUUAACGGCCGAUCCACAAUUUCCAGGCAAAGGAUCUGAUUGGCCUGCUUGAAUCAGGUUGGCAUUCCUGGACCAAUCAGUGACUGCAGGGGUACAGACAGGGCCUCAGGGGCCACGCCCAGUAGGGAGGGGCAACUCUGGGUGGCGGGUGAGCCUGGGCUGGGCCGGCGCUCCCUAGGUCCACGAUAUUCAAAGAAGUCACUCAAGGAGGUCACAUUUGGACGCCCAGGACUCAUUGGAAGGGAAUCCCUGAGCUGUCAGGAGCAGGCCCGGGAACCACAGCGUCCACAGUGCCUGGCAUGCUCCUGGUACAGAGCUCCUGCAACAACUGACAAAGCAGGAUCUCGGCAGCAGAGGCUUGGAUUCAAAGUCAGCAGAGGUCUGCAUUCAAAUUCCUGCUCCCUUAGCUGUGCAUUCUCAGAAAAGUGACUUAACUUUUCUGUGCCUCACUUUCCUUAUCUGUAAAAUGGGAUAAAUAACAGUACUAACGUCAUGAGGUUGUGAGGAUUAUAGUCAGCCCUCCCUAUCUGCAGGUUUCGCAUCCGAAGAUUCAAUGAAGUGUUGGGAGUCCGUGGACGCAGAGGGCUGACUGUAUGCAUUGUUCUACACCAUUUUCUAUCAGGAACUUGAGCGUCCACGGAUAUUGGUCCUGGAGCCAAUACCAGCAGAUACUGAGGGACAACUGUA